rnacentral:rRNA from 1 species
GAUGAACGCUGGCGGCGUGCCUAAUACAUGCAAGUCGAGCGAAUGGAUUAAGAGCUUGCUCUUAUGAAGUUAGCGGCGGACGGGUGAGUAACACGUGGGUAACCUGCCCAUAAGACUGGGAUAACUCCGGGAAACCGGGGCUAAUACCGGAUAACAUUUUGAACUGCAUGGUUCGAAAUUGAAAGGCGGCUUCGGCUGUCACUUAUGGAUGGACCCGCGUCGCAUUAGCUAGUUGGUGAGGUAACGGCUCACCAAGGCAACGAUGCGUAGCCGACCUGAGAGGGUGAUCGGCCACACUGGGACUGAGACACAGCCCAGACUCCUACGGGAGGCAGCAGUAGGGAAUCUUCCGCAAUGGACGAAAGUCUGACGGAGCAACGCCGCGUGAGUGAUGAAGGCUUUCGGGUCGUAAAACUCUGUUGUUAGGGAAGAACAAGUGCUAGUUGAAUAAGCUGGCACCUUGACGGUACCUAACCAGAAAGCCACGGCUAACUACGUGCCAGCAGCCGCCGUAA